rnacentral:rRNA from 1 species
UACGUAGGUGGCAAGCGUUGUCCGGAUUUACUGGGCGUAAAGAGCGCGCAGGCGGUCGGAUAAGUCGAAUGUGAAAGCCCCCGGCUCAACUGGGGAGGGUCAUUCGAUACUGUUCGACUCGAAGGCAGGAGAGGGAAGUGGAAUUCCCGGUGUAGUGGUGAAAUGCGUAGAGAUCCGGCGGAACACCGGUGGUGAAGGCGGUCUCCUAGGCCGAGGGCCGACGCUGAGGCGCGAGAGCGUGGGGAGCGAACCGG